UUCACCACACUGUUCAACACCGUCGCUAAAUUUGCCUGGAGUUUCAAGAUUCUUCAAAUUUAAAGGCAGUAAUUCCCGCAAAGUAAAAUAAAACGGAGAACUAGGAGAAAGAAAUUAUGGUAAUACUGAUAAAGUAGAGAGAGAGAAGCGACGUCACGAGGCUACUAAGGUGGGAAUACGAACACGCGUAAACAUUAGUGAGGAGCUGAACCACUCAAGGUCGACCACUCUACGCCUCGGCACACUACACUCUCACCUCUACUACAGCAAUGCCUCCAGCUGGUCAAACACGAGUGUGUGGCAAAGACCGGACAAUCCCAACAGUAUUCACAGCUAUUGCAACAGCCGUCACAGCUGCUGCAGCAGCCGUCACAGGUGACACAGCAGCCGUCACAGGUGGAGCAGCAGCCAUCACAGGAGUAACAGUAACCAUCCCUCGUGUGCCCACUCCCGUGACGACCCGACGCGACGUGAGGAAGGUUAAGAGACCAUGAAGACGGACGGGUCCAGUGGUGGCGGCUCCCGCGUCGUUCCGGUGGAGGUUGUGUGAAUGUGGCACUACGCCGCCCUACACGGGUUAGUGGCGAGCGAUGAGUUCAUGACUAUAGAUGGGAUAGACGCAGCCAAUGCCUCUCUUCACUUCAUUUCGCCCGCCAUCUUGGGUUAUGAGCGAGUGCGUGAAUCUCAGCAGGGAGCAGCAGCCACCACCUACCCCACAGGUGGCACAUGUGAAGAACCCACCCACUGAGGAGGGGGGCCAAAAUAAUCAGGAUCUGAUGUAAUUUUAUGGCAUAGUCGGACAAGCCCCCUGCUCCCAAUCACGACUAAGAAGUGUCACCUGGUAGCAGCCUAUUUAUCGGACUUCAUGUGUUGAGGUAACAUUGUAACUGCAGUUUUCCUUGGUGUAGGGUGUUUUGAGACCAGUGCUUCUCUAGCCUCGUAGGGAAACAAGAUUCUGGUCACAUUGAUUUAGGUUUACAAAAUUUACAAGAUACCCGAUUGUUGUGACUAAAGUUUUAUGAGCCUAUAGCUCUCAGAACUCAAGAGGUUAAUAAAAGAAAAAGAAAUGGUUAAACCAGUAGACAUGUAUAACCUGAAUACUUUUAGGGAUAAAAAACACUCAUGCUAAUCCUAUUUAUUGAAUACUCAAUUUCAUGAAAAUUUAUUUUAUUCACCAAAAUGAAAAAUUGCAAACUAUUCUUUCCACUAAAAAUAUUAAGUUAUUGCAAAUAUAAGAACUAUUCUCAACAUUCUAUUCUUGGAUCAAUAAAACUCGCUCUCAGCAUAAUAUCAAUGUGUAUUAGAUGGCCUAAUUUAUCAUUUUUAUAUCACAUUUUCAAAUUUCAUGAAUUAAGAAGUAAAUCAAUUUUAUAUAUGCAUGUUGUAAUUUAAAGCAUGGGUGAAAGUCUUUGCAAAUAUUACAGGUACUCUGAUAUGCAGCCAGAUGCAUUAAAC
rnacentral:lncRNA from 1 species